rnacentral:misc_RNA from 1 species
UACGGAGGGGGCUAGCGUUGUUCGGAAUUACUGGGCGUAAAGCGCGCGUAGGCGGCUUUUCAAGUCAGGGGUGAAAUCCCGGGGCUCAACCUCGGAAUUGCCUUUGAGACUGUAAGGCUUGAACACGGGAGAGGUGAGUGGAAUUCCGAGUGUAGAGGUGAAAUUCGUAGAUAUUCGGAAGAACACCAGUGGCGAAGGCGGCUCACUGGACUGGUAUUGACGCUGAGGUGCGAAAGCGUGGGGAGCAAACAGG